rnacentral:antisense_RNA from 1 species
GCAGUUUCAGUGCCUUCCUGUGGUCUGUGAAGAAGAGCAACUUAACAACAAGGAGAGGGAAAGGUCACUGAAUGAGAAGACACAGGAGGUAGAGCAGCACUUGCUGACUCAGAAGCAUUAACAUAAAACGCUGGAGUGCAGGGCACAAUAAUGGUUGACUGCAGCCUCAACCUCCAGGGCUCAAGGGAUCCUUCCACCUCAGCCUCCCCAGUAGUUGGGAUUACACGGAUAUUUCAAGAUUCAGCAUCAUUUCAGACCCUGAAAAAUCCCUGAAAAUUGAAUUCUCAAUAGAUAAUGCAACUCCACAUAAUAUCUGGAUUUUGUAAAUGCUUGCUAAUAGAUUGUUUUACAACGUG